GACCCUUAAGUUUGCGGCCAGUCUUCGAACGUUUCAACAGCCAUGAGUGAAACGCGAAAUACGGCUCAGUAACACGCACCCACCCAACCUCAAGACGGAGACAACCCCGGGAAACUGGGAUCAAUCUCCGAUAGAUGAAAGCUCCUGGAAUGGAUUUCCAUCUAAAGGGCGUCACGGUCAUGCUCUGUAACGUCGCUUGAGGACGGGGCCGCGGCCGAUCAGGUAGUUGGUGAGGCAACGGCUCACCAAGCCUAUAACCGGUACGGGCCGUGGGAGCGGGAAGCCCGGACGAUGGGCACUGAGACAAGGGACCCAGGCCCUACGGGGCGCAACAGUUGCGAACAACUCCGACAAUGCCACGAAAGUGUGAACGGGGCUAUCCUCGAGUGCCGUUCCGCUGAAGAUGGCUUUUUCUUCCACUGUAAAGGAGGCGGAGGAAUAAGGGAGAGGGCAAGUCUGGUGUCAACCGCCGCGGUUAAUACCAGCUCUCCGAGUGGUAGGAAAUGAUUAUUGGAUCUUAAAACGUCCGUAGCCGACUCAACAAGUCUUUCGUUAAAUCCAACGAUUCAAAUCGUUGGACUGCGGGAGAUACUUUUGGGCUAAGAAGGCGGGAGAAGCCGACGGUAUUUCCGGGGUAUGGGGUAAAAUCCUAUAAUCCCGGGAAGACCACCAGUGCGUAGCGCGGUCGUCUAGCACGCGCUCGACGGUGAGGGACGAAAGCUGGGGGAGCGAACCGGAUUAGAUACCCGGGUAGUCCCAGCUGUAAACGAUCGGGCUAGGUGUUGGAGCGGUUACGAGCCGCUUCAGUCCGCAGGGAAGGGGGUAAGCCCGCCGCCUGGGGAGUACGUCCGCAAGGCUGAAACUUAAAGGAAUUGGUCGCGAAGCGCCCAAUUGG
rnacentral:rRNA from 1 species